ACCAGACUCCUACGGGAGGCAGCAGUGGGGAAUAUUGCACAAUGGGGGAAACCCUGAUGCAGCGACGCCGCGUGAGUGAAGAAGUAUUUCGGUAUGUAAAGCUCUAUCAGCAGGGAAGAAAAUGACGGUACCUGACUAAGAAGCCCCGGCUAACUACGUGCCAGCAGCCGCGGUAAUACGUAGGGGGCAAGCGUUAUCCGGAUUUACUGGGUGUAAAGGGAGCGUAGACGGCAUGGCAAGUCAGAUGUGAAAGCCCGGGGCUCAACCCCGGGACUGCAUUUGAAACUGCCCGGCUGGAGUGCGGGAGAGGUAAGCGGAAUUCCUAGUGUAGCGGUGAAAUGCGUAGAUAUUAGGAGGAACACCAGCGGCGAAGGCGGCUUACUGGACCGUGACUGACGUUGAGGCUCGAAAGCGUGGGGAGCAAACAGGAUUAGAUACCCCCGUACA
rnacentral:rRNA from 1 species